AUUCAAUACAUUACCAAAGCUUACUGUAAAUUGACUUGAAACUAAUGCAGAGGUUGGAUCAUAAAAGGUUUCGCCUAAUUGUAACAUUUGUUGGCUAUAUUCUUCUGGUUGCACGUGUAAAUGAGCUAUUCUGACGCGUCCGAAUUCAUAAUAGCCCAACCAAAGGCGCUUUGGGCGUUUGCUUUUUUUUUUUUUAAAAGUUUAUCCCUCCAUUGUAUCAUUUCCGCUGUUUCCUUUUUUCAUAAAAAAAAUCUUGUAUUAGUUAAUAAUACUGAUUAUUUUUAGUAGGUACAAAGUGUAAAGAACUUUCGUCAGAGGAAACUUCACAGUCAGUUCCAUCUUUUUUUGGGGGAAGAGCUAACUUUGUUGAACGUUUAAUUUCUUUUAUAAUACGUUUUUCUUCUUCUCGGGUAUUAGACGCGUGGAACUCAUUUAGACCUGUGCAUUCCGCUGCGACCUAUAAAAACAAAACAAAACGAUUAAAAGAAAACAAGAAAAAGAAAAAGGUAUAACUUCUUUUCUAGUGCCGACUCACAUCGUGGAGGUUCCUCAGAUGUUAAAGAAGAUGCGGGUGAAAUAAAAAGAUUUGUUGGUUCUUUCUUAUCUAUUUUUACAAAACAAUAGUCAAUUUUUGU